UGCCGUCUGAUUCUAAUUACACGAGGACUUAAAUAGAUACUGCAGGGACUGGACUAGGACUGUAAAGACAGACCCUCUCUCAAGGAAGAGACCCAUAGAUCUCCAAUUUCCCAACAUUCUCGUUUAGAUUCUUCGCAGGCCAGUACGCCUAGGACAAUCCAUAUUGAACAGUUCCCACAUUCCUAUGAGCAGCUACAGCUACGGCAGCUGCACCAAAUUGUGAUUGUGCCUGCAGCAGUUUUGCAUCUAUAGCAAUUCGCUCAUUUAAUUGUUCCACCUUAGCUUUUGGUUGAUAGUACGGGAUGGUAUUCAUGUCAAUCGCCAUGACUGGUCCUGGUUUUGCUGCCAUGUUACACUCGGGCAGUGGUUGUUUUGCUAGCGAAGUAUCCUUCUCAGACACUGUCAACUUUUCUUGUGCCAUUGCGUUGUUCCUGAAGAAACAGUGAGGAGACACUGUCUGCUGUGGAGGGAGGACUGCAUUUCUAUAAAAUAUCCUUGCAUCGUAAGCAUCUUUGAUGUUUCUGCUAUUUUCAUAUGGUACGACUGAUCCAACAACUCUCCCUGGCUUUGCUGUUGGUACUCUGGGUGGAGGUCGAGAUACCUUCAAUGCAUUUCCAGAAAUUGCAUCUGUUGCUCUACAAUUUUUUGAAGCAUCUUCUGCAACUUGCCGGUUAUCAAAUGCAGUUGAACUUGAUUGCAUAUUAGGAGGGAUUGUAUUUGUGUGUACAGUAGACCGUGGAAGAGAGACAUGCUUCCUCUCUAGAGGAAUCACUGGUGCACUUCGACCACUGUUUUCCUCAAGAUAGGCAAACUGCUUUCUAAAUUGACCAAUUGCACUAGGAUAGAGAAAGUUAGUGCCUUCAUUUCCAUUCAUGUAGUCUUUGAGCAGCUGUGGAUGAUACUCCAGUAUUUCGCGGUACAGCAAUUCCCGGAUAUCCUCCUUUGUCACCCUUCGUCUCUCAAACUCAAACUCCAACUUUGAGAUUGGCUGACAAGAAGGUUCUCUCUCAAUUUUGGCUAAGCCUUUAAAGUAAGGAUCAGCUAAUGCCUGUUCAGCAGUAGGUCGAUCUUUUGGAUCAAAUGCUAAAAGUCUUUGCAACAGCUUAAGUGCUAAAGGAUCUGCAUUUGGAAAUUUGAGUGUAAAUGGCACAGGCUGUUUUUUCCUCAUUUCUGUCAAGUACUUCCUUGCCUUCUCAUUUCGAACUCCGGAAAUAGUUUCUGGUGAAGGAGUCCCAAGAAGAUCAGUGAUCAAAUCCAGCUGAUGAACAACACUUUUACCCGGAAACAAUGGCUUCCCUGUCAAUACCUCAGCAAAUAUGCAGCCAAUACUCCAAAUAUCAAUUGCUGGUGUAUACUUUGAAGAAAAAGAGCCACACAGCUCUGGAGCCCUAUACCAUCUUGUUGCAACAUAGUCCGUCCAAAAAACAGUGGUUGGUGUAUCACUAAAUGCUACUCUAGCGAGUCCAAAGUCACAAACUUUAAGCUUGCAAUUUGCAUUUGCCAAUAUAUUCUUGGGUUUAAGAUCUCUAUGGUAAACAUUUGCCGUAUGCAUGUAUUUCAAUGCUCUUAACAUCUGAUAAAGAAAAAACUGAUGGUGUUCACGUGUCAAAUCAUCAUUAGCUUUGAUGACUUGGUGAAGAUCAGACUCCAUGAGCUCAAAAACAACAAAUAUGUCUUUAAACUCCCUCUUUGAGGAUGGCAACAUGAUGCGCUUAAUUUCUACAAUAUCAGGAUGUCGUAAAAGCCUAAGUAACUUGACUUCUCGCAAGAUCCUAAUAGCAUCAGAGUUGUGCUCAAAAACAUCAUGGAUCUUUUUUAUUGCCACUUUUUCUCCAGUGUGAGUGUCAAUUGCAGCACAAACAACUCCAUAGCUUCCUUUUCCUAUAACUUCCAGAAUUUUGUAUCUAUUGGCAUCCCCGUACUCGGUGAAAAAGUCCAUAUCUUUUAAGUCCUUCUUGGGAUGAUCUCGCUGCAUCUUUUUUCCAAAACCCACCAAAAUCACAGACACCGCAAAAUACCCUUUCUUGCUCUUGUUAAAAACAAUUACUGCCCCCUUUCUUUUCUUCUUCUUCUUCUUCUAGGAGAAAAUUAGCCACAGUCACACACAGCAAAAAAACCUAGUUAGAUUGACGGCCGCACAGUGCUUUUCCUUCUCACUCUACUCUUCAAACUCCGCUUAUGCUCAUCAACCAUGAAAAACCCACUUCAAAUCUUCUAGUCUCUUGCAAAAUCCUCCCUCACCACCACCACUAGCAGCAUCAAAAUUUACUUGAAGAACAAAAAGAGAAAGACAAGAAAAGUAUAAAAGAUUCAAACUUUGAGAGAAAACGAACUAAAACUCGAACUCCGUAGAUGUCGGUGAAAACUUUGGAGAUCUAAGAGCAAGAGGAUAAAAAACCAAAAA
rnacentral:misc_RNA from 1 species